GACGAACGCUGGCGGCGUGCUUAACACAUGCAAGUCGAACGGAAAGGCCCUGCUUUUGUGGGGUGCUCGAGUGGCGAACGGGUGAGUAACACGUGAGUAACCUGCCCUUGACUUUGGGAUAACUUCAGGAAACUGGGGCUAAUACCGGAUAGGAGCUCCUGCUGCAUGGUGGGGGUUGGAAAGUUUCGGCGGUUGGGGAUGGACUCGCGGCUUAUCAGCUUGUUGGUGGGGUAGUGGUUUACCAAGGCUUUGACGGGUAGCCGGCCUGAGAGGGUGACCGGCCACAUUGGGACUGAGAGACGGCCCAGACUCCUAUGGGAGGCAGCAGUGGGGAAUAUUACACAGUGGGCGGGAGCCUGAUGCAGCAACGCCGCGUGCGGGAUGACGGCCUUCGGGUUAUAAACCGCUUUCGCCUGUGACGAAGCGAGAGUGACGGUAAUGAGUAAAGAAGCACCGGCUAACUACGUG
rnacentral:rRNA from 1 species